rnacentral:tRNA from 1 species
GGGAAUAUGGCUUAGUGGUAGAGUACUUGCCUAGCAUGCAUGAAGCCCUGGGUUCAAUUCCUCAGUACCA